rnacentral:rRNA from 1 species
AUUGAACGCUGGCGGCAGGCUUAACACAUGCAAGUCGAACGAGUGGCGGACGGGUGAGUAAUGCUUGGGAAUCUAGCUUAUGGAGGGGGAUAACUACGGGAAACUGUAGCUAAUACCGCGUACCAUAGGAUGAGCCCAAGUGGGAUUAGGUAGUUGGUGAGGUAAAGGCUCACCAAGGCGACGAUCUCUAGCUGGUCUGAGAGGAUGACCAGCCACACUGGAACUGAGACACGGCCCAGACGCCUACGGGAGGCAGCAGUGGGGAAUAUUGCACAAGGGGGGAAACCUGAUGCAGCCAUGCCGCGUGUAUGAAUAAGGCCUUCGGGUUGUAAAGUUCUUUCGGUAGGGAGGCGUUACCUACAGAAGAAGCACCGGCUAACUCCGUGCCAGCAGCCGCGGUAAUUC